GUGGAUGCCCUGGCAGUCAGAGGCGAUGAAGGACGUGCUAAUCUGCGAAAAGCGUCGGUAAGGUGAUAUGAACCGUUACAGCCGGCGAUGUCCGAAUGGGGAAACCCAGUGCAAUUCGUUGCACUAUCGUUAACUGAAUACAUAGGUUAACGAGGCGAACCGGGGGAACUGAAACAUCUAAGUACCCCGAGGAAAAGAAAUCAACCGAGAUUCCCCCAGUAGCGGCGAGCGA
rnacentral:rRNA from 1 species